rnacentral:rRNA from 1 species
UACGUAGGGUGCAAGCGUUAAUCGGAACUACUGGGCGUAAAGCGCGCGUAGGCGGCUUUGCAAGUCAGAUGUGAAAUCCCCGGGCUUAACCUGGGAACUGCAUUUGUGACUGCAUGGCUAGAGUGCGGCAGAGGGGGAUGGAAUUCCGCGUGUAGCAGUGAAAUGCGUAGAUAUGCGGAGGAACACCGAUGGCGAAGGCAACCCCCUGGGCAUACACUGACGCUGAUGCACGAAAGCGUGGGGAGCGAACAGG